rnacentral:tRNA from 1 species
GGCCGUCUGGCGAAAUGGCAUCGCGUCUGACUACGAAUCAGGAGAUUGCAGGUUCGACCCCUGCGUCGGUCA